rnacentral:rRNA from 1 species
GGACGAACGCUGGCGGCGUGCCUAACACAUGCAAGUCGAGCGGGGAGGAGGAAGCUUGCUUCCGAAUCCUAGCGGCGGACGGGUGAGUAACGCGUGAGCAACCUGCCUUGAACUGGGGGAUAACGCAUCGAAAGAUGUGCUAAUACCGCGUAAGACCACAGUACCGCAUGGUACAGGGGUCAAAGGAGCAAUCCGGUUUAAGAUGGGCUCGCGUCCGAUUAGCUAGUUGGUGAGAUAACAGCCCACCAAGGCAACGAUCGGUAGCCGACCUGAGAGGGUGAUCGGCCACAUUGGAACUGAGACACGGUCCAGACUCCUACGGGAGGCAGCAGUGGGGAAUAUUGGGCAAUGGGCGAAAGCCUGACCCAGCAACGCCGCGUGAGGGAAGAAGGGUUUCGGCUCGUAAACCUCUGUCCUAUGGGACGAAGAAGUGACGGUACCAUAGGAGGAAGCCCCGGCUAACUACGUG